GGGGAUGUUCAUAAUUGACGGUUAGCACAUUCAAGAACCUGCCAAUCUGAGUCCAGUCUCUGUAAAAAAACUGGAACUAUAAGACAAAUGCCAAGUCUACAAUAGCCAAAUUGAAGAAUGCUUUUGCAUCAUUCAGUUUUGCUCCUGCUGUUGCCUAAAAACAUCAGCCAUCCGACCCUUUGAUUUCUGAUAGAAGGUAAGGGUGUCAUCUUAUCAGGACGGGUGAUUUCAUCGUUUCAGGUAAUCACUGUCGGGCAAAUGGAACUAGGAUUACAGGAUAUUUUGUCUGUUUUGACUCUUGCAAUCCGAAUCAAUAUGAAAUAGACUAUAUUGGUAGAUGGUUUUUGGAAAACUAUCCAGACAGGGGUGAAAGUCCCCUCAUCUCCACCA
rnacentral:tmRNA from 1 species